ACGCCGUCAUCACAGCCGUCCAUCUCAUGAUCAGAUCAAGCUCCCACGCAUGUGAAGCAUCCGCACGUCUCCUUCCUUCCCGUGAUCCCAUUCUUCAAGCGGUGAACAUCCACGGAUCAAGCUCCCUUCCAAUUUCAAGCCGUGAUCCAAGCUUCCACCGAUUGCCGUGAUCAACAUCCCAGCCAUCCAAGAAGGCUCCUCCCAACGCUCCCAGUUCCUCCAGCUCAUCCUGCAGCUCCUCCGCCUUAGCCCUCUUCUUCCUCCACGAUCCGUCCGCACAUCAGCCUCUCGGAUCCAAGCCGUGAAUGCCUCCUCCCGUCUUCAACGCCACCAUCCCGCGGCUAGCCCCCUCUCCCAUGGAAUCCAAGCCUCCCGUGAUGCUAGCAGUGGUCCCACGGCAGCCUCCGCCUCUGCACCCAUGGAUCCACGUCCUCCCGGAAUCCCAGCCUUCGAC
rnacentral:lncRNA from 1 species